UGUAUUGAAGAGCCUUUGAUAGACCAAUUGAAGCAACCAAUGAAAUUUUUUAAUAGAAUGGAAAUUGGAAAGCUCAUUGCAUGCAAAAGACAAAAGCCUGAUCAACUGUCUAAUGACGCUUUGACAUCUGCACUCAAUGAUACUGGAAAUGAACCGAGUUACAGCUCCAGCCACCCUGCUUAUGCAUGCUGUCCAGAGGAGAUCCCGUGUCUUGUGACGGGAAACUGUGUUAAUUAUCCUUUCCUUGGUAUGUUGCACCACACAAACACCAGAACAGAUAUGGGGUCUUGCUCCAAACCACAAGUGAGAAGGGCAUUGCUGGAAUUUAAGUCUGAAGCUUUAUCUGUUUAUGAGAGGUUAAAAAUUGGUGGUCAUUACCUUAUAAACCAUCAGAAAGAAGAUAUGUUUGGUACUGAUGCAAUAGUUGUGAAUUCGGGAACCUACAUUUGGAGCAUUUCUUUUUCAUCUGCUAAUGUUCACCAAAAUUUUGAUGUAUCCUGCUUGCUUCAACAGUCCGGUUCCUUUUUAAGUCACAAUAAUGAUCUUCCAGAAGGCUAUCAUCAGUUUCAAAUUCCAAACUCUUUGCCUAAUGGAAGCAAUGAUAUCUCUUCAGAUGUCAACUUAUAUAUGCCAUCUGAUGUCACAAACUUAUUUAAUGUUAACUUGGUGUUGUUGGAGAACUGUUCUCUCGAGCCUCUUAUUCCAUUUGGAGAAAUGACCAACAUCUGCCCCUCUGAUCAUAAUUUGCCAGAGGGAAACCUAACAUCUAUUCAUGGGCAAAUCAAGG
rnacentral:misc_RNA from 1 species